rnacentral:rRNA from 1 species
AACGAACGCUGACGGCGUGCUUAACACAUGCAAGUCGCACGAGAAAAUUUCGCUUCGGUGGAAUGAGUAAAGUGGCGCACGGGUGAGUAACGCGUGGGCAAUCUGCCUCCAAAUCGGGGAUAACCCCGCGAAAGCGGGGCUAAUACCGGAUGACAUCCCUUGUUCCUAGGAACGUUGGAUCAAAGGUGGCCUCUACACGUAAGCUGCCGUUUGGAGAUGAGCUCGCGUACCAUUAGCUUGUUGGUAGGGUAACGGCCUACCAAGGCGACGAUGGUUAGCUGGUCUGAGAGGAUGAUCAGCCACACUGGAACUGACACACGGUCCAGACUCCUACGGGAGGCAG